rnacentral:rRNA from 1 species
CGGGUGAGUAACGCGUGGGUAACCUGCCUUGUACUGGGGGACAACAGUUAGAAAUGACUGCUAAUACCGCAUAAGCGCACAGUAUCGCAUGAUACAGUGUGAAAAACUCCGGUGGUACAAGAUGGACCCGCGUCUGAUUAGCUAGUUGGUAAGGUAACGGCUUACCAAGGCGACGAUCAGUAGCCGACCUGAGAGGGUGACCGGCCACAUUGGGACUGAGACACGGCCCAG